rnacentral:lncRNA from 1 species
UACUAAUUUAUGCUUUUGUGAGUCAAGUAUGGUGAUUUGAGUAGGUGUGGUGUUCAUGUGUGAAUGCUUGGACCAUAGGGAGUGGCACUAUUAGGAGGUGUGGCCUUGUUGGAGUAGGUGUGGCCUUGUUGAAGGAAGUGUGUCACUAUGAGGGUAGGUUUUGAAAUCUCCUAUGCUCAAGCUACAUCCAGUGUGGCUCACAGUUUCCUUCUGCUGCCUAUGGAUCAAGACAGAACUCUUAGCUCCUCUCCAGCCCCAUGUCUGCCUGGCUGCUGCCAUGAUGACAAUGGAGUAAACCUCUGAACUGUUUCUUUGGAAUCAGAAGAGCUACUGAGUAAUCCACAGCACCAGCAGGAAGAAGAGCCCCUGUCUUUCAAAUGAUAAUGGACAGGGUCCAGAGAUAGCAGUGAGAACUCCAUUGCUGGUGCUUGUCCACAGCUCCAGAGUCUCCUGAGAACGAAUUUGGCUGACUAGUGUGAAAGUCAGAAAGAGAAGGAAAAGUGGGCAUCGGAACUGAAGAUAAUGAGGAAAACAGAGACGGGAGUCUUUUGCAGCUAGACCUCUGCAUUGGGCUUGCUUACUGUGGGCCAUAGAUUUGUUUCUAGAAUGAGACCCAGACCUGCAGGCAAAUUGCCAUUGCCUUUGUAAAUGGUGAGCAGAGAUGGUGGAGCAGCCAUACCAGGGGAGACAUCCUCUGUCGUCUCGUGGUGGGCUCUAGGAAAAGAGUCUAUGAAAGCCCUGGGAGGGAUGUGCUUCAGGGUACCGGCCUUUCCUGGAAACCUCGCGUGGCAAGACCUAGGAGAAGAAGGAGGGUCACCUCCUCCAUGUUUCCUAACCAAUUCCCAGAAAUACUGAGAGGCCUGCAGUGAGUGACCCCAAUGGAACCAUAGCGGACUUCCCAGUUUAUUUGUGCCAGAGAAUCAACAGAGCCCUCAGACUGGGCGUGAAGGCAAAGGACAUGAAAAACAGAGACACUGCAGAUAUCUAUGAUAGUGGCGGAGGAUAGGUGGGAAUCUCAGUAAAGAUAAACACACUUUGCAAAGAAGUGUGUUAGCAUGUGCAUUUACA